GUGACCUCAAAUCAGGUAGGACUACCCGCUGAACUUAAGCAUAUCAAUAAGCGGAGGAAAAGAAACUAACAAGGAUUCCCCUAGUAACUGCGAGUGAAGCGGGAAAAGCUCAAAUUUAAAAUCUGGCGGCCUUUUGGCUGUCCGAGUUGUAAUCUAGAGAAGUGUUAUCCGCGCUGGACCGUGUACAAGUCUCCUGGAAUGGAGCAUCAUAGAGGGUGAGAAUCCCGCCUUUGACAUGGACUGCCAGGGCUUUGUGAUGCGCUCUCAAAGAGUCGAGUUGUUUGGGAAUGCAGCUCAAAAUGGGUGGUAAAUUCCAUCUAAAGCUAAAUAUUGGCGAGAGACCGAUAGCGAACAAGUACCGUGAGGGAAAGAUGAAAAGAACUUUGGAAAGAGAGUUAAACAGUACGUGAAAUUGCUGAAAGGGAAACGCUUGAAGUCCGUCAUGUCAUCCAGGGAUCAACCUUGCUUUUGCUUGGUGCACUUCCUGGUUUGACGGGCCAGCAUCAAUUUUGACCGUUGGAAAAAGGCUAGGGGAAUGUGGCAUCUCUGGAUGUGUUAUAGCCCUUGGUCACAUACAAUGGUUGGGAUUGAGGAACUCAGCACGCCGCAAGGCCGGGUGUUCGCACCACGUACGUGCUUAGGAUGCUGC
rnacentral:rRNA from 1 species